AGGUAAGCUACUAAGAGCGAAUGGUGGAUGCCUUGACUGGUAAAGGCGAUGAAGGACGUACUAGACUGCGAUAAGCUACGGGGAGCUGUCAAGAAGCUUUGAUCCGUAGAUUUCCGAAUGGGUCAACCCAAUGUAUAGAGAUAUACAUUACCUAUAUAGGAGCGAACGAGGGGAAUUGAAACAUCUUAGUACCCUCAGGAAAAGAAAUCAAUAGAGAUUGCGUCAGUAGCGGCGAGCGAAAGCGCAAGAGGGCAAACCCAGUGCUUGCACUGGGGGUUGUAGGACUGCAAUGUGCAAGAGGUAAGUUUAGCAGAACAUUCUGGAAAGUAUAACCAUAGAGGGUGAUAGUCCCGUAUGCGAAAAACAAACCUUAGCUAGCAGUAUCCUGAGUAGGGCGGGACACGAGGAAUCCUGUCUGAAUCCGGGUCGACCACGAUCCAACCCUAAAUACUAAUACCAGAUCGAUAGUGCACAAGUACCGUGAGGGAAAGGUGAAAAGAACUGAGGUGAUCAGAGUGAAAUAGAACCUGAAACCAUUUGCUUACAAUCAUUCAGAGCCCUAUGUAGCAAUACAGGGUGAUGGACUGCCUUUUGCAUAAUGAGCCUGCGAGUUGUGGUGUCUGGCAAGGUUAAGCAAACGCGAAGCCGUAGCGAAAGCGAGUCUGAAUAGGGCGCUUAGUCAGAUGCUGCAGACCCGAAACGAAGUGAUCUAUCCAUGAGCAAGUUGAAGCUAGUGUAAGAACUAGUGGAGGACUGAACCCAUAGGCGUUGAAAAGCCCCGGGAUGACUUGUGGAUAGGGGUGAAAGGCCAAUCAAACUUCGUGAUAGCUGGUUCUCUCCGAAAUAUAUUUAGGUAUAGCGUUGUGUCGUAAUAUAAGGGGGUAGAGCACUGAAUGGGCUAGGGCAUACACCAAUGUACCAAACCCUAUCAAACUCCGAAUACCUUAUAUGUAAUCACAGCAGUCAGGCGGCGAGUGAUAAAAUCCGUCGUCAAGAGGGAAACAACCCAGACUACCAGCUAAGGUCCCUAAAUCUUACUUAAGUGGAAAACGAUGUGAAGUUACUUAAACAACCAGGAGGUUGGCUUAGAAGCAGCCAUCCUUUAAAGAAAGCGUAAUAGCUCACUGGUCUAGUGAUUUUGCGCGGAAAAUAUAACGGGGCUAAAGUAAGUACCGAAGCUGUAGACUUAGUUUACUAAGUGGUAGGAGAGCGUUCUAUUUGCGUCGAAGGUAUACCGGUAAGGAGUGCUGGAGCGAAUAGAAGUGAGCAUGCAGGCAUGAGUAGCGAUAAUUAAUGUGAGAAUCAUUAACGCCGUAAACCCAAGGUUUCCUACGCGAUGCUCGUCAUCGUAGGGUUAGUCGGGUCCUAAGUCGAGUCCGAAAGGGGUAGACGAUGGCAAAUUGGUUAAUAUUCCAAUACCAACAUUAGUGUGCGAUGGAAGGACGCUUAGGGCUAAGGGGGCUAGCGGAUGGAAGUGCUAGUCUAAGGUCGUAGGAGGUUGUACAG
rnacentral:rRNA from 1 species